GUCUUUUUGAGUUUAAUUUAAAGUCUGAUCUGCCCACUGAUAAUAUUUAAGGGCCGCAGUAUUCUGACUGUGCAAAGGUAGCAUAAUCAUUAGUCUUUUAAUUGAGGGCUUGUAUGAAUGAUUGGACGAGAUAUAAUCUGUCUCAUAAAAAUUUAAGUAGAAUUUUAUUUUUUAGUUAAAAAGCUAAAAUAAAUUUAAAAGACGAGAAGACCCUAUAGAUCUUUAUAAUUUAUUUAUUAAUUUUUUUAGGUUAUUUUUUAAUUUUAUAAAUUAAAUUAUUUUGUUGGGGUGACAGUGAAAUUUAUAAAACUUUCAUAAUUUUUUGUUACAUUAAUUUAUGAUAAAUUGAUCCAUUUUUAGUGAUUAAAAAUUUAAGUUACCUUAGGGAUAACAGCGUAAUUAUUUUGGAGAGUUCUUAUCGAUAAAAUAGUUUGCGACCUCGAUGUUGGAUUAAGAUUAAUUCUGGGUGUAGCAGUUCAGGUUAUUAAGUCUGUUCGACUUUUAAUUUCUU
rnacentral:rRNA from 1 species